UACAGAGGGUGCAAGCGUUAAUCGGAGUUACUGGGCGUAAAGGGCGCGUAGGCGGUCUUGUAAGUUGGAUGUGAAAUCCCUGGGCUCAACCUAGGAACUGCAUCCAGUACUGUAAGACUAGAAUAUUGUAGAGGGUAGUGGAAUUUCCGGUGUAGCGGUGAAAUGCGUAGAGAUCGGAAGGAACACCAGUGGCGAAGGCGGCUACCUGGACAAAUAUUGACGCUGAGGCGCGAAAGCGUGGGGAGCAAACAGG
rnacentral:rRNA from 1 species